rnacentral:rRNA from 1 species
GGGGGUGAAAGGCCAAUCAAACCGGGAGAUAGCUGGUUCUCCCCGAAAGCUAUUUAGGUAGCGCCUCGUGAAUUCAUCUCCGGGGGUAGAGCACUGUUUCGGCAAGGGGGUCAUCCCGACUUACCAACCCGAUGCAAACUGCGAAUACCGGAGAAUGUUAUCACGGGAGACACACGGCGGGUGCUAACGUCCGUCGUGAAGAGGGAAACAACCCAGACCGCCAGCUAAGGUCCCAAAGUCAUGGUUAAGUGGGAAACGAUGUGGGAAGGCCCAGACAGCCAGGAUGUUGGCUUAGAAGCAGCCAUCAUUUAAAGAAAGCGUAAUAGCUCACUGGUCGAGUCGGCCUGCGCGGAAGAUGUAACGGGGCUAAACCAUGCACCGAAGCUGCGGCAGCGACGCUUAUGCGUUGUUGGGUAGGGGAGCGUUCUGUAAGCCUGUGAAGGUGUGCUGUGAGGCAUGCUGGAGGUAUCAGAAGUGCGAAUGCUGACAUAAGUAACGAUAAAGCGGGUGAAAAGCCCGCUCGCCGGAAGACCAAGGGUUCCUGUCCAACGUUAAUCGGGGCAGGGUGAGUCGACCCCUAAGGCGAGGCCGAAAGGCGUAGUCGAUGGGAAACAGGUUAAUAUUCCUGUACUUGGUGUUACUGCGAAGGGGGGACGGAGAAGGCUAUGUUGGCCGGGCGACGGUUGUCCCGGUUUAAGCGUGUAGGCUGGUUUUCCAGGCAAAUCCGGAAAAUCAAGGCUGAGGCGUGAUGACGAGGCACUACGGUGCUGAAGCAACAAAUGCCCUGCUUCCAGGAAAAGCCUCUAAGCAUCAGGUAACAUCAAAUCGUACCCCAAACCGACACAGGUGGUCAGGUAGAGAAUACCAAGGCGCUUGAGAGAACUCGGGUGAAGGAACUAGGCAAAAUGGUGCCGUAACUUCGGGAGAAGGCACGCUGAUAUGUAGGUGAGGUCCCUCGCGGAUGGAGCUGAAAUCAGUCGAAGAUACCAGCUGGCUGCAACUGUUUAUUAAAAACACAGCACUGUGCAAACACGAAAGUGGACGUAUACGGUGUGACGCCUGCCCGGUGCCGGAAGGUUAAUUGAUGGGGUUAGCGGUAACGCGAAGCUCUUGAUCGAAGCCCCGGUAAACGGCGGCCGUAACUAUAACGGUCCUAAGGUAGCGAAAUUCCUUGUCGGGUAAGUUCCGACCUGCACGAAUGGCGUAAUGAUGGCCAGGCUGUCUCCACCCGAGACUCAGUGAAAUUGAACUCGCUGUGAAGAUGCAGUGUACCCGCGGCAAGACGGAAAGACCCCGUGAACCUUUACUAUAGCUUGACACUGAACAUUGAGCCUUGAUGUGUAGGAUAGGUGGGAGGCUUUGAAGUGUGGACGCCAGUCUGCAUGGAGCCGACCUUGAAAUACCACCCUUUAAUGUUUGAUGUUCUAACGUUGACCCGUAAUCCGGGUUGCGGACAGUGUCUGGUGGGUAGUUUGACUGGGGCGGUCUCCUCCUAAAGAGUAACGGAGGAGCACGAAGGUUGGCUAAUCCUGGUCGGACAUCAGGAGGUUAGUGCAAUGGCAUAAGCCAGCUUGACUGCGAGCGUGACGGCGCGAGCAGGUGCGAAAGCAGGUCAUAGUGAUCCGGUGGUUCUGAAUGGAAGGGCCAUCGCUCAACGGAUAAAAGGUACUCCGGGGAUAACAGGCUGAUACCGCCCAAGAGUUCAUAUCGACGGCGGUGUUUGGCACCUCGAUGUCGGCUCAUCACAUCCUGGGGCUGAAGUAGGUCCCAAGGGUAUGGCUGUUCGCCAUUUAAAGUGGUACGCGAGCUGGGUUUAGAACGUCGUGAGACAGUUCGGUCCCUAUCUGCCGUGGGCGCUGGAGAACUGAGGGGGGCUGCUCCUAGUACGAGAGGACCGGAGUGGACGCAUCACUGGUGUUCGGGUUGUCAUGCCAAUGGCACUGCCCGGUAGCUAAAUGCGGAAGAGAUAAGUGCUGAAAGCAUCUAAGCACGAAACUUGCCCCGAGAUGAGUUCU